CCCCUGGAAAGAAAGGGAGAGGUGCUCUACCAGCUGGGCAGGACACCCGGGGUCUCACACAGCUUUGCUCUCUUUUCAGGGCCUGGACAGAGAAAGCUACCCUGCUCAGCUGAGGAAGCAAAAGGCACCAGGUGGCAAGAGUCACCGCUUGCUACCAACUCUGAUACCAGGCAAGCACUUAGCUUGGUCCUAAGGGCAUACGAGGUGCUUAUACUGAGCAUGUAACCCCACUUCCUCUCCACCCUAUGAAGGGUGUUCCUGAUAGCUUGGACAGACAUGAGAAAACUGAGACAAAGAGAUCAAGUACAUCACCAAGGAUAGUAUGAAUGAAUGAAUGAAUGAUGCCUGAGCUACUAACUGGAAAAGAGAUGAGCAGACACCAAGGGAUAGCUGAGUAAGGAGAUGGAGAGCCACUGGACCUGGAGCACACAAGAGGGCAGGACAGUGCUGACAGUCCGUGGCAUCCUUGGAGACUGGCUGCGUGCUCUGCCACUGGGUUCCACUGAGGUUCUGACGGCCACCCCGCCGGCGUAAGGCACAUAUCCUGUCACAGUAUUCCUGGGAACUACAGUCUUUCAAAGCCUCUGGAACAGCGCUGACCAGUACACAUGCCACUAGCCACCUGCAGCUACUUAAAGACAAGCUGUCACCAGUUCUGACUAAGGACAUUUCUGUGACUGUCCCUGAGCAUUACACAGCAGCUAAGGUACAGAGCACUGAGCAACACCUAAGGUCACACUGCAUAGGACACCAGGCUCCUGGGUCAGGUGAGCACUGGACCACUGAGCUAGAGUGCCUCGGGCCCAACUUCUCUACCCUGAUUAUGGCCAAGUUCCCUGCCACCCCUCCCAGGUGCUCACCUCCCGUUUCCCGAGUGAGGUCAGAACACUUACUGUGGCCGGUGAGGCACGGGUGGUGUGGGAAUAAGACUGGCUGGCGUUGCCUAGCAUGUAGCCGCCUUGGAUCACGUAGGUGCCUGCUCCACUGCUGCCGCCGCCGCUGCCGCCGCCACCGCUCCGCCGCCACCACCAUUGCUGCUGCCACCUCCCCCGCUGCCCCCUGCCCCCACGCUGCUGUUGCUGGCCCCAGCCUCACUGCUGGAGGAGCUGGCGACAAUCGGGCUGCCGGACACAUACAUGGGCACGGAGCCACUGCUGGCCACAGUCUGGGAAGUAGCCGGCGUGCUGACCUGGGCAGCGGUGCCUGGAGCCUCAUAGUAGCUGGUGCCUGCUGGUUGCGUGUAGAUCGGCGUCUCAGGGUAGGGGUAGGUGCUAGAGCGGCUGCCAAGAAGCAGACAUGAGGCUAUGAUCAGUGAGCCUUGUCCAAGGAAGUAGGGAUUCCAGGAGAGGACCGGAGAAGCCACAGAACACCAGGGUGGCCCACCUUCACUUGUAAGAGACUCGGCAUGGCCUAAAACUGAAUGGGCAACCACGUCCUUGGUGUUUUUCUAAAGAGAUUUCUUUAUAAUUAUUGAUUCCUCGGAGGGGACACACAGGUACCACAGCACACGUGUGGAGGUCAGAGGACAACUUGUGGGAGUCAGAUCUCUCCUUCCUUCCACCAUGUGGGUCCUAGAGAUCGAACUCAGGCUGUGAGGAUUGGCAGCAAGCACCUGCCGAAGCAUCUCCCUGGCCCUCUGUGGGUAGCUGUCACUGAACUGGGCAGCACUCUGGUACGGGGCCACCUCCCUUGCUGCAGAAGUGGAGAAAACAAGGUGGGGUCCAGAAUGCAAAUACAACACACACUUCCCUCAGCAACAACAAGUAAGUCCUGGGUCCAGGGAGGGAAAACCCAGAAGGGAUGACAAAGUCCCUAAGACGGUCGGGCAGACAGAGGAGUGUCUGUGACUGUCUACCUUUCCUGCAGGGGCUGCCCCUUCAACCCAGAACACGAACUGACGGACUGUUCCGGUAACACGCUGCAAAUCUAACCGUGCAACUGUGCCAGGGCAGCUGGGCCAUCUUUGGAGGCUGCAAACUAAAGUGGGCCAGAGCAGGGUGAGGAGAAGAGGACGACGGCCUUGCAGGCCGCCUAAACCAGGCACAGUGGACAACCAGAGACAAGGUUGGAAGGGUAGGAAACGAUGACCCUAAGUGCAGGUGGAGGCCUCUGUGGAGAGGGGACAGGCAGAGCCACCUCUCAGCUUCUGUCUCUGAGCCCACUUAGUAUGUCAGGGAUUAAGACAUGAAAACUUGAGCCUGGCCGGUGGCUCAGGGGGCGGGGUGCUGCCAACCAGCCUGAAGCCCUAGGUUUGAUCCCCGAAGCCCAUGGAGCACACAGACUCUAGAGUUGGCCUCUGCACUGCACUUACUACAUGGUGUACAUACACCCAUUCUCUCCACCAUCUCCACACACAAACGAGGGCCAGUACGACAGCUCUGGGGCUACAGAUGCAUGCCACCAUGCCGGGCUCUUACACAGGUACAGAGAUCUGACCUCAGGCGCUCAUGUUUAGUAAGCAAGCAACUGACUAUUGAGCCUUCUCCCCAGCCUCCAAGGAAAAGUCUGAGACAGAAUAUUCAGCCUGUGUUUCUGAAACAAGAAACGAUCCAUUUCUUUUUUAUUUGAGACAGGAUCUAACUGGGUAACUAGCCUUCAAUUCAAGAUCUUCCUAGGGACCGGCAAGAUGGCUCAGGAGGUAGGGUGCUUGCUACCAAGCCUGAGGAACUGAGUUUGACUCUGGGGACCUACAGGAUGGAGAGAGAAGACUGACUCCUUCAGGUCUCAUCUCCAUAUGUGCACCAUGGCACGCACAUGCCCCUCCCAUUACAAAUAAAUCAAUGUAAUAAAACAAUCCGCCUGC